UACGGAGGGAGCUAGCGUUGUUCGGAAUUACUGGGCGUAAAGCGCACGUAGGCGGCUUUGUAAGUUAGGGGUGAAAGCCCGGAGCUCAACUCCGGAAUUGCCUUUAAGACUGCAUCGCUUGAAUCCGGGAGAGGUGAGUGGAAUUCCGAGUGUAGAGGUGAAAUUCGUAGAUAUUCGGAAGAACACCAGUGGCGAAGGCGGCUCACUGGACCGGUAUUGACGCUCAUGCACGAAAGCGUGGGGAUCAAACAGG
rnacentral:rRNA from 1 species